CCCUUAGAUGUUCUGGGCCGCACGCGCGCUACACUGACGAAUGCAACGAGCUUAUAACCUUGGCCGAAAGGUCUGGGUAAUCUCCAAAUUUCGUCGUGAUGGGGAUAGAUUAUUGCAAUUAUUAAUCUUCAACGAGGAAUGCCUAGUAAGCGCAAGUCAUCAGCUUGCGUUGAUUACGUCCCUGCCCUUUGUACACACCGCCCGUCGCUCCUACCGAUUGAAUGGUCCGGUGAAAUCUCGGGACGGCGGCUUGGUCGCUUGCGUCCGACUGCUGAAACUUGAUUAAACCAUAUCAUUUAGAGGAAGGUGAANUCGUANCA
rnacentral:rRNA from 1 species